rnacentral:rRNA from 1 species
CGUACCACAUGUGCGGCAGAGGGACACUGACGUCGACAAAGCGAAGGAACAUCUGGACGACUCGAGAGAAACUCCCUCUGAUCGCACGACGUAGCUAUGCGAUGUACAAGCGGAGCAGCCAGCACCCGUACGUACGUUACGUCGUUAUAUGACUCAUGACUUUAAUAAGGACGAGCAUACGACGUACGGGGGAAGACGCCCCGCUAACUCCCCGCCAGCAGCGCAGUAAGGAGGGGGGCGAGCAGUCGUUAUUCGUAAUUAGGGGAGUGGAGGGCUAGUACGGGACCAACUACGUCAGACAUGAAGUCGCCUCGCCCCACCGGGGGGGGUGCGUCUGAUACUGUCUUGCUUGAGUGAGAGGAGAGGUAAGUGGAAUUCCCUGUGUAGCGAUGAAAUGCAUAGAUAUAUGGACAACCGUCGCUGGGGAGGGUGGCGUCCUGGUCCAUCACUGACAGUGAGGAGAGAAAGCCAGGGGAGCAAACGGGAUUAGAUACCCUCGGUAGUCCUGGCCCUAAACGAUGAAUGCUGGGUGUGGCGUGUAUCGAUCCCUGCCGUGCCGAAGCUAACGCAUUAAGCAUUCCGCCUGGGGAGUACGGUCGCAAGGAUGAAACUCAAAGGAAUUGACGGGGGCCCGCACAAGCGGUGGAGCAUGUGGUUCAAUUUGACGCAACGCGAAGAACCUUACCCAGGCUUGAACAGCGAGUGACCAGCUCCGAAAGGAGCCUUCCGCAAGGACACUCGUAGAGGUGCUGCAUGGCUGUCGUCAGCUCGUGUCGUGAGAUGUUGGGUUAAGUCCCGCAACGAGCGCAACCCUUGUUUGCUGUUGCCAUCACGUUAUGGUGGGCACUCUGCAAAGACUGCCGGUGAUAAACCGGAGGAAGGUGGGGAUGACGUCAAGUCAGCAUGGCCUUUAUGUCUGGGGGUACACACGUGCUACAAUGGCCGAUACAAACCGUCGCGAUACCGUAAGGUGGAGCUAAUCGGAGAAAGUCGGUCUCAGUUCGGAUAGUAGGGUGCAACUCGCGCGCAUGAAGUGUGAAUCUCUAGUAAACUCGGAUCACCACGCCGCGGGGAGAACGUUCCCGGGCGUUGUACACACAGCCCGUCUCAUCCCGAAAGAGUCGAGGUACAAGAAGUAGCCCCG